rnacentral:lncRNA from 1 species
CAAAGCACAAAAUGUUCACGGAGGGAAACCCUGGAAUCUCCCCCUGAAAACCUGUUAAUGUGGCUGAGAGCUCAAAACUGAAUCAUUGAAAACAGUAUAUUUUAUGGACAUAGAGAAAGAUGCUGCUUUUCUCCUGACAAUCUUCAAAGAGGGACCAGGUCAUGAUAAAGCAAAGCUGAAAGUCACUGCAGAGCAGGGAACAAAAGCAAAAGGAAGUUUUGCUGCUAACUGUCUCUAUCAAGUUUUUCUACAUUGA